rnacentral:misc_RNA from 1 species
CUUUGAUUCGUCAGGGUUGACAAUUAGCCAAGAGGAAUUAUAUAUUGCAAGAUGGCAGCAACAGAAUCUAAAGAAGAGAUUUAGCUAAUUGUCAACCCUGACGAAUCAAAGCAAUUGUGAACCCUUACGAAUCAAACUAGUUACAAUGCAUUAACAUAAAAUGGAGCAAAACUUCAAAAGGCAAUAACAAAACUUGAAAAGGCAGUCUUGAAUUUAAAAUUUCUUUUUGGGAAUAAUGAGUAGUGGUUUUUCCUUCUGCAGUGUUAUGCCAAAUUUAUCAUUCAUGUCUAGCUUUGCAGGAUCAUCAUCAUUUUCAAAAGACCAAUCAAAGUAAUGUAUUAAAUUGGCUAAAAUCAAUGGAAUUUGCCUUAUAGCCAUGGGUAGACCUGGACAAAUUCGCCUUCCUGAACCAAAAGGUAUUAGCUCAAAAUCAUGACCUUUCAAGUCUAAACUUGAUCCGAGAAACCUUUCAGGCUUAAAUGACAAAGGCUCUUCCCAAACUGAAGGAUCGCGUCCAAUUGCCCAAACAUUGACAAAUACUUGACUAUCUUUUGGAAUUGUAUAAUUCAUAACUUCAAAUGUCUCAAGAGCUCGAUGUGGAAGGAGGAAUGGAAAGGUGCAGGAGGAUGUAAUCUCAUUGUUUCCUUUAAAAGUGCAUUUAAAUAUGGAAGUUGAGAAACUUCAGAUUCAUGUAUUGAGCCUUUGUUGAUUACCUUGUCUAGCUCUUCCCCAAGUUUUUCCAAGACUCGUUUGUUCUUGAGAAUCUCAGCCA